UCCCAGGUGGCUCAGACGGUAAAGAAUCUGCCUGCAGUGCAGGAGACCCUGGUUUGAUUCCUGGGUUGGGAA
rnacentral:tRNA from 1 species